GCCCUAACGUUGGCAACUAAGGUUUGAAUUCGGGCCGCACCACAUCCAAUGGUAGCGACCAGCGAAGAGCAAGAACAGGUUUCAGGUGUCGGUGUCCCGUCAAGCAACAUUCAUUUCCGGUCGCGAAAAUAGCUGGUGUGGUGGUGCUAAUGCUGCCGCAGGAGGUAUGGGGGGAGCAGUAGCAGCAGCCACCGCCCUCUUCGCUCGCCUCCCUUUCCGUCGCUACCGCUCCUCUAUCCUCGUCCCCAAUCCCACUCCUCCUAUUAGCGGCUGCGGCGGCGACGGAUCCAUAGGCCCUAUCUUCCUCUUCUUCACCGGUUCCGUCCCUUACUUUUCCCCUUCCUCUUUUUAUUUCUCCUCCAUUGCUUCCUCCUACCCAGCUGAUUCUGGUGAAAGCGUCGAGACUGAAACCCUAAACAACGGCCUCGGCCUACCUUACCCGUCCCAAGAUGAAGGAGGAGCCUCCUCCCCCACGGACGCCACCGAUGUGUUCCGGCGGUGGGGGUGCACCAAGUCCGAGGUGUCCCAGAUACUGAGCCGCCGCCCCGCCCUCCGCCGCGUGAGCCUCCCGGCUCUCCAGUCCAAUCUCCAGGUACUGCGUGGCCUUGGCGUCCUUGGCCCCGACCUCGUCGGCAUCAUCACCUGCCGCCCACGCUUCCUCUUCGGCAGCCUCGCCCUCGGCCUCGACGCCCGCCUCGACUUCCUCCGCACCCUCUUCCCCUCCGACGCCGCCCUCCGCCGUGCUGUCGUCCGCAACCCAUCCCUCCUCACCUACGACGUCGACCGCACCAUGCGCCCCUGCGUCCAGCUCUACGAGGCCCUCGGCGUCGCCCGCCGCGAUCUUGGCCGCCUCCUCGUCUCCCGCCCCACCAUCAUCCCCCGGUCCUCCCUCGACGACGAGAAGCUCGACCUCGUUCACCGAACCCGCCUCCCCACCACCGCCGCCAUGUACAAGUACGCCCUCUCCAUCGUCGCCGUCUCCCGCCUCGAGACCCUCCGCGCCAAACUCGCCAACCUCGAGAAGUUCGGCUUCUCGCCUGACGAGGUGAUGGGGCUUUUCGCCCGCACCCCCAACGUGCUCACCCUCUCCGUCGACAAGGUCCAGCGGAACAUGACCUACAUCAUGGGGACCAUGAAGCUCCCGGCCCGCGUCGUCCUUGACCAGCCCUUUCUCCUGUUCUGCAACCUCGACAAGGUGCUCAGGCCUCGGUACCUGGUCGGCCUGAAGCUGCAGGAGAUGGGCCUUGAGCCCCGGAUCAAGGGGCCCGCCCUCGUCCAGGCGAUGAGGAUGAAGGAGCCGCGCUUCCUCAAGGUGUUCGUGCGGUGCCACCAGGAGGACGUCGCUGGGGCCCUUAUGGAGUACUAUGCCAGCGUCAAGGGGUCGGGACGGUUGGCAGAGUCGUCACGCUCGGUCAAGCACAAAGGCUUCCCCUUCUAAUUAUAAGGAUAUCAAAGCUGCUCCGAUCAGAUGUGGUAUUCAGAAUUCUUUCAUUGCAGUGGAGCUAGAAGAGUGGUCCUCGACUCUUUUGCUCUGUGGUCAUGUCAGUGCAGCAGGAAGAAGCUGGCGAUAGAGACAUACGCAGCUGGCUGUUUAAGUUAUUCUGUCAUAAUCUGAGAACUGCAAAGGGCAUGCAUUGGGAUAAAGUUUAUAGCUAAAUUGGAUUAUAAAUGGGGUCGGGAUUAUACUGUCGAACAAAGUUUCAUGUUCCAACAUUAUUUUACUGAAUAUAUCUCGGUUUCUCUCUUCGUGUAUCAAGGAGAAGGUUAGGCACCCAUGGUCGAAUUGAUUGGUCAUAUCCUUGCCGUUAUCGACGUUGGUGAGCAGGUGUGGGAAAGCUAGGUUCUGCCAGAUAUGCAUAUUCUCAAGCUGCUUUAUCCUUUAAUGCAGGAUCCCAGUCAUGAGCAACCGGUUAUCAUACCACUUUAUGCAUCUCUAACUCAUCUUCUCCAGUUAGUGGCAAAACUGUAAGCAGCAUCAGAAACACCAACUUCCUAGCAAAGAGUUCAGUUCUUGUAGUCCAAGGCAGGAGUAAUGGGAAAGGUAGCAGUUCUAGGCUGAUUGAAGUUCUUAGAUGAUUUGAUAAGAGAGAGCAAAAAACUCUCCCCCCUCUGUUAUAUUUUUGUUUAAUCUUUCGAACGAAGACAGUCCAAAAUAUUUGGUUUUCUUUUUUUUUUUGGUUAUAUAUAUGGGCGGUCACACCACUCUGACAUGAGAACAGUUCAGACAGUCAGAGUAUAAAAUUUCCUGCAGGGCUGGUGGGAUUUGUCAAGCUCAGUCUCCAGAGUGUUUUGCAACAAAUGAUGCUAUUCGAUUUGUCACAUUGUUUGCUUUUCGAUAAACAUGCAACACUACCAUUAUAGUUGGGAGGUGAAGCACAGUUCAAAUGUUAGAGAAGAGUAGAUAGGUUUUCAGUUGCCUCGUAUUGUCACGGAGUUAUCCAAUGAUGGUGGCAGAGUUAUUCAAAACAAAAAAUUUUUCCACUUGCAGCUCAAAAAUAAUAUCCAUUCAGCUCAGCUUUCAAAACUAAAAGCUGUCCAGAAUACUUAGUUCAAUGGAAUGGUUUGAUGGUUUCACGUAAAAACUGGCUGUAUUCCUUCGUGAUGAUGUUGGGGUAAUUGAAGCUUUCAGUUACUGCAUGUAAA